rnacentral:lncRNA from 1 species
GCUUAAUUGCAACACUUUUGUUAUUGUUAUUUGCUCUUACGUUUGUCAGAUUUCCCUUGUGUGUUUUCUUUUUUCAGACUUCUCUAGUGCUCCAGAAGCCAACUUAACAGAGACUGUUCUACUGAAAGCUUUCUGAAAUCAUUCUUGAAAUACGAUGCAUAAUCUCUUGAGAUUAAAGCAAUGGCAAAAUUCAAAUGGUAGUGGUUCUUGCACUUCUGUCAUUUGCUGACGGACCAGAAGAAUGUGAACCUGCCCGUCUGAUUUCGUUAAUGUAUUUCCAACUCUGACUAUUCCCUGUAAAUUCCGCCUUGGCUCUUCAGCAGCAAGACAGUGAAGAAAAAAUCUUUUUGAAGAAAGGCACUG